CCCACUGAUAUAAAUUAAAGGGCCGCAGUAUUUUGACUGUGCGAAGGUAGCAUAAUCACUAGUCUUUUAAUUGGAGGCUUGUAUGAAUGGUUGAAUGAGAUAUAUACUGUCUUUUUUAAAAUUAUAUAGAAUUUUAUUUUUUAAUUAAAAAGUUAAAAUAAAAUUAAAGGACGAGAAGACCCUAUAGAUCUUUAUUUUUGUUAUUUAUAAAUUAAAAAGAAUUUUAAAAUUUAUAAUUUAAUAAAAAAUUUUAUUGGGGUGAUAUUAAAAUUUAAAAAACUUUUAAAAUUUAUUAACAUAAAUAUAUGAAUAAAUGAUCCAGUUUUAUUGAUUAAAAAUUUAAGUUACCUUAGGGAUAACAGCGUAAUUUUUUUUUAGAGUUCAUAUCGACAAAAAAGAUUGCGACCUCGAUGUUGGAUUAAGAGUUAUUUUUAGGUGUAGAAGUUUAAAGUUUAGGUCUGUUCGACCUUUGAAUUCUUACAU
rnacentral:rRNA from 1 species